rnacentral:rRNA from 1 species
GACGAACGCUGGCGACGUGCUUAACACAUGCAAGUCGAACGGUAAGGCCCUUCGGGGUACACGAGUGGCGAACGGGCGAGUAACACGUGGGUGAUCUGCCCUGCACUUUGGGACAAGCCUGGGACACUGGGUCUAAUAACGGAUAGGACCCGGCGCUUAACGGCGUGUGGUGGUAAGCUGUUGCGGUGUGUGAUGGGCCCGCGGCCUAUCAGGUUGUUGGAGGGGUAAUGGCCUUCCAAGGCUACGACGCGUAGCCGGCCUGAAAGGGGGACCGGCCACACUGGGACUGAGCUACGGCCCUGACGCCUACGGGGGGAAGCAGUAGGGAACAUUGCACAAUGGGCGCAAGCCUGAUGCAGCGACGCCGCGUGAGGGAUGACUGCCUUCGGGUUGUAAACCUCUUACAGUAGGGACGAAGCGCAAGUGACGGUACCUGCAGAAGAAGGACCGGCCAACUACGUGCCAGCAGCCGCGGUAA